AUGCGCGNCCUAUCAUGCNAGUCGAGCGAAUGAUGAGGAGCUUGCUCCUCUGAUUUAGCGGCGGACGGGUGAGUAACACGUGGGUAAUCUGCCUGUAAGACGGGGAUAACUCCGGGAAACCGGGGCUAAUACCGGAUAACAAGAGAAGAUGCAUAUCUUCUUUUUGAAAGUCGGUUUCGGCUGACACUUACAGAUGAGCCCGCGGCGCAUUAGCUAGUUGGUGAGGUAACGGCUCACCAAGGCGACGAUGCGUAGCCGACCUGAGAGGGUGAUCGGCCACACUGGGACUGAGACACGGCCCAGACUCCUACGGGAGGCAGCAGA
rnacentral:rRNA from 1 species